UGGCUCCUGGUGUUUACCACAGGCUGUGUUCUUUACUGACUGUAAAGAAGGAGAAGGCAUCAUAAAACUUACCCACAUACACCUCACCCCAGGCCCUUUUUCUGGUCUUUAUUGUGAAUGGAGGGACCUGG